rnacentral:tRNA from 1 species
UCCCUGGUGGCUUAGAGGUAAAGCAUCUGCCUGUAAUGCAGGAGAUGCGGUUCAAUCCCUGGGUC